AAAGUCGUAACAAGGUUUCCGUAGGUGAACCUGCGGAAGGAUCAUUAUAAAAAAGGAUGUGCUUUGUGCAUAACUCCUCUCACACCUCCGGUCCAUAAAAAAGGCCGGGGGUUGAAUGAGUCCCUUAACCCUUUGUGAACUUUAUAUCUUAUGCUUUGGCAGCGCACUUCCCCUCUGGUGGAGUUGGUAAGGCUGCCGAUAGCCCCAUUUAAAACUUAUUUUUAUUUUAAAUCAUGAAGUCUGAUUACUGUUAAAUUUAUAACAAAAUUAAAACUUUCAGCAACGGAUCUCUUGGUUCUC
rnacentral:misc_RNA from 1 species